rnacentral:lncRNA from 1 species
CUUUGCUCAGUGACUGGAUGACACAGUAGGAGUAACAAGAAAGUUCACAUGGGUGAACCGUGGUAGGUGGACAUCGUCUCUCUCACCUCUUCCCAAAUCAAGGAUGAAGUACAUCUUCAUAAAUCCUCAUGUGAAUUAUUUUGCUACCUCUAGAAGCAUUUUCUAAAACAAGGUGCAGCAAUCAGUUGAGUGAAUUUGUCACCAGAGCUUAUGUUUUCUGAAAGAACCCUAUCCUCAGGCAGUUGUUCCUAAGAGCCUUUUCCUUUCCCUUGAAGAUUCCACAAAUAUGUCAGCGCUGGAAAUGAUC